rnacentral:rRNA from 1 species
AUGUUGGGCCAGGCCGCACACAUGCCCAGCAUUCACCCACCCAGAGGCCCACAGCCCACAGCCCGAACUAGUAGGCCAACUCGAGGUUUCUCCUCUCGUGGCACGCACGCAGACCAACGGAAUCGGGCGACGAGGGUUUCUGCGCUCCAACAUCCCGGCGGCGAGGAAGAGAAGGCGGCGGAGAUGGCGGUGAUGGACACGGCGUUCAAGGUGCUGACGGCGGGGCUGGGCGUCGCGACGCUCUACCUGGCCGGCUCCUUCUCCUUCAACGUCUACCGCGGCCUCGCCUGGCACUCCGAGCAAUCCAAGCUAGAAAAAGAAAAGGAGAAGAAUGAAGAUUGA